UACAGAGGGUGCGAGCGUUACUCGGAAUUACUGGGCGUAAAGCGUGCGUAGACGGCUAUCUAAGUCGGGUGUGAAAGCCCCGGGCUCAACCUGGGAAUUGCAUUCGAGACUGAAUAGCUAGGGUACGGUAGAGGGAAGCGGAAUUCCCGGUGUAGCGGUGAAAUGUGUAGAGAUCGGGAGGAACACCGGUGGCGAAGGCGGGUCUCUGGGCAAUUCCUGACGCUGAGGCGCGAAAGCGUGGGGAGCAAACGGG
rnacentral:rRNA from 1 species